GUUUUAAUAAUUUAAUAAAAAUAUUGGUCUUGUAAACCAAAAAUAAGGAAUAGCCUUUUAAAACU
rnacentral:tRNA from 2 species